UACGGAGGGUGCAAGCGUUGCUCGGAAUCAUUGGGCGUAAAGCGCGUGUAGGCGGCCAACUAAGUCUGAUGUGAAAUCCCAGGGCUCAACCCUGGAACUGCAUCGGAUACUGGAUGGCUAGAGGAUGAGAGAGGGUGGUGGAAUUCCUGGUGUAGGGGUGAAAUCCGUAGAUAUCAGGAGGAACAUCAGUGGCGAAGGCGGCCACCUGGCUCAUUUCUGACGCUGAGACGCAAAAGCGUGGGGAGCAAACAGG
rnacentral:rRNA from 1 species